UAAGGCCAAUUCCAAGACCCUCUCUGCACCAAGUUCUUAUGCACACUAAAGGAACUCUCCCCUUUGCGGCAAUUAUAUUGUGUCUGAUGAUUCUUAUCUGCUUCAGUGCCUCACAGCAGUAACAAGGGUAUUCCUUUCAGUGGUCAAGAUAGUCUUGCUGCUUUCCUUUUUGUAAUCAACAUGUGUGACCUGCACACCAAGAUGCAGUUCAUCAACUGGUGACAGGUAGAGGAAUUUCUUCCAUGCACUAGUAAACUCUUACUUGAUCAUGUCUAUUGUCUUUGUUAAGAGAGGAAACCUUUCCAAAAUCAUCACUGGGAUACUGGGUCAAAUCACAGUGGGCCUUUUUGGCCAUAAUGGCCAUAUCACCUUUUCUUUGCAGGAGCAAAGACAUAUGGUGGCCCCCACUGACUCCACAUAUGGC
rnacentral:lncRNA from 1 species